rnacentral:lncRNA from 1 species
AUGGCGGGGCUCGCCGCGAUACCCCCCUUCCCUCCCCUCAGAGUCGGCGACACGGGACGGCGACACACCGGCUGCCUGGCUAAAACGCAGCGGACGGGAAGAAAAACGAGAGCCAAAAACAAAAAAAAAAAAAAAAAAAAAAAGACGAAAACCCCCAAAACCACCACCGCGAGACAGAGCCCCGGGCGCCUCGAUUUAUUUAAUUAUUUUUUAUUCAUUUUCUCGCCCUCCCUCGCGGGGGGGAACCGGCCGCUAACGGCCGGAGCCGCUGACAAAGCUCCCGCGCGCCCCCUCCCCUCGCCCCCGCCCCCACCCCAGCACCGCCCCCGCGACAUGCGCGGCGCUAUCGCGACACGAGGCGCCCCCCUCCCCUUCCUCAGGGAGCCCCCUCCUCCAUCACAGAGCCCCCUUCCCCCCUCCCCAGUAUCACGGAGCCCCCCCACACACACAUACACACACUCACCUCGCUCCGCCGCCGCGGGGGAAGCGAGCCCGGGAGCCCUCACCGCCGCCUACCAGCCGCGUCGCGACAUGGCCGCUGUCGUCGUCGUCGCCGCCGCAGUGGCACACGGUUUCAUGAUGCCGUCAAAUGAAGGCUCUGCGGAUGCUUGUCUGAAGAUGCUGUUUCACCAGAGUAACCAGAGCAGUUCAAGGACGCCUGGGUUGAACCACCUGGAUGACUUUAUGGAAGCUGGUGCUUUAAGAACAGAGUCAGCACUACAAGUCUUGCAAUGAAUUAUUGAGCCAGUGUGUAUUGAGCCAACGGUGCUGAGGUCAGAAGAAGCUACUGGGUGAGGUUCUCUAGAGUUUUCUCAGGUAAUCCUGUUCUGAAAACACACUUGCAGAGUCAGAAGUCACACUGCUUCUAAUUCCUAGGAUUCGCUUGAUAAGUCCUGUAUCUAAUCAAUACAUAGUGUAUUAAUUUCGAAGGAAGGGGUAGAUGUAACAGUCCACAGGAACAAAGAAGAUUUUCCUGACCACAGAACAGGAGAGGUCUGGAGUCAGGGCAAGGGACAUAGAAUUAAGGUCAAGAAAAUACAGAAGCCAGGCAAAGCCAGGCAGAACUUGUAACUUGUAACUUGUAACUUGUAAGCUUGAGCUUGAAGGGUUAGAAAUAUGGUACAAAUAAAUUGGCAUGGACUCUUCAGGCAAAAGGAAGAAUUGCAUGCAGUGGGAAGUGAGACCCUCACUGGGAAUUGAGGCCCUGAGGCCUCUGAACACUCCACGUGCAAGGUUGCUUUUUUCAGCUGUGCACAUAUUACUCCAAAGAGCCAUCUAAGCAGACAAGCAACAAGAAAGGUGAGGGUGUAAUGCAGCUUUCUGAGGGUCAUAGGGCUGGCAAGUGGCAGAGGCAGGAAUUGCACCCAUGAGUUUGCAGACAGCAUUGUGCCUUCCUAGGGCACAGCAGUGAUCGUAUAUUAAUUGUUCAGUUUAGCAACAGACCCAUUAUCUGUCUUUCCUGCUUUCAACUUCUCCACACCCUCCAUUCACCCAGGAUCUCGAACUACAACAAAUUCUCUGCGUUGUUGGAGAAGAAAAGUCUUCAGAGAGACUCACAGCCUUAAAUGUAAUGGAAACAUUUGCUAAUGAAUGAGCCCUCAUUAUAUGUUACAAGGAAACGCUUAAUUGACAGUGGCCACCGGAUAACAGGGUUUAAUUAAUAAAUCUAGGUGGCGUCAUGUACACCACAGGAAGGGAUUACAGGGGUUAAUGUGUCUGUCUGUCGGACUUUUAUGGAAGAGUCAUGUUGCCUGUCUUUUAACAUGAAUAACCCGCGUGUCUGCGACCCAGCACUUACAAAAGGGAGGGUCAAUCGGUUAUGGGAACACAGCAGCCCAGUCUGAAUGUUUGAAUGUGGGUUGGAUGGCACCCGAGGCUGAAGCAGACCCGAGUUAGAUUUGUUUUUUCAGCUCUUUAGGCAGCAUCUGGGUUUCUAUGGUGCUAUCUAUUCUAACCACACACACCACCCAGUGUUUGACAAAGUCAUCUCAAACUUAGCAUUUUAAUGACUGGUUCGUUAGUGCCUCAGACAGACUGCCAGCACCCACCACAACAAUACGAGCAGCUUUAGCAGCAGGAUAUGAAGAGGAGGGAUUCUCAAUGGAUGGAUAUUAAUACCUUCAUUGAAAAGUUAGGGAAGUUGUGUUGACCUGCCUCUCCUAAUAGAGUGACUCCAUUUUUGAUGGGAAGCAAGACUCUGAAGAUCCCAUUGCAAUCUGCCACAGAAGACAGGUUGCUGUGAUUCUGACCUGCAGACUGGUCUUCAUGUUUGCAGUGUAGUGUGAAAAGGUCAGAAAGAGUCCAGGACUUCUAAACAGUCUGUCCUCUGAUAACAUUAUCAUCCUCUUUUAUCUGCAUGUAUUUAGAACAGUUACAUGUUCUCAUUUUAGGGCUGAGAUCAUUUGUUUGUAAAUUGGAAUGGGCAAAAUUCGCAAAUCCCACCUGCCCAGGAGCACUCCAUCUUCAUCCACUCUGCAGAUUGCUUGAGAGCUAGUCACCAGCUCCUCAAAAACCACUGCAGAGGAGACAGAAAGCAACAGCUGACAACACGUACCUUUGCCCAAGAGACCUAUAUCUCCUUAUAUAAGUUGGCUAAGCCCUGUGGAAGCAAACUUAACCAGCCUGAUUCAUACCAGCCCACGAUCCGGACUCCGUGUCUGCUAUUACUUGUGUACAAAGUGACAACGGGGCACUAGAUGAACAAAGCUACCCUCAGCUUGAAGUAGUGCCUCCGUUUCUCUUGAAGAGAGCCCUUUGGAGCGUGGGAGAGAUGUUUGUGCUCAGACAUGGGAGCAUUGUGUAGCAAUGUAGCCAUACCAGUUCUGCUUAGAAAGGAACAGAAAACCAUUUAUACUGAUCUUCAACUCCCCCAACAACCAUUUGUGGCUUACCACUACAUCUUAAGUCCCCAUCCUUUCACCUGACUGAGGCUGUCAUUGGCAUGCUGUAACUGCAUAUACAAAAACAAAACAAAACAAAACAAAACAAAAACAAAACAAAAAACACUGGGAGUUUAAAGGGGAACUUUUUACAAGGAUUCUGCUCUAAGCUCAGAGCAGGUCUUGUUAAGAAAUUAUCUCAAUUCAGCCAAGAGACAAUGGAGAUCUAAUUAGCUGUAAUUAACCUCAAGCUUUACCUCAUCUGGAUUACAAGACAGAUUUUUAUCUAGUAUCAGGCAGUUUAGUCCCAUUGCAGGCAAGAGAACAGGAUUAAUCAAUGUUAAACUUCAAACUGGAUCCUGUUCACAAUCCUAGUAUUCUGGAAGACCACGAGAGUUUUCCUGCUCUUGUCUGCAGAAAGAUAGCAGCUAAAGCCAAGUGUUAAGUGGAAGGCUGUCUACCUUUGUAGUGAGGUAGGAUGUCAGACAUAGCAUUGAUUUGGCCAAUGCAGGUCAGAGCAGCAACACAAAAGGGAAGGCACGUGCCAGGCACUGGUGGUAGCUCUCUGCCUCCUGGUGUGUCUUCCCCAGCCAGUUCCCUCCGUGCAGUAUCAUUCAAAACUCCUCUCCAUUCUGCUAAGGGCUCUAUUUACUUCUCAGCUCUCAUACCUCCUUUCACGUUUCCAAUGCUUACAUGAUUUCAGAUCCCCCGUCUUGCUUUCUGGUAAGGCGUUCACAAGCUCCUUCAGUCAUAGGCAAAGCUAAGACAGGAGACUGUCAAGCUGGAAUGGACUGAGAGCAGCUGUAAGCUAGGUGCUGCACACGAAGUUGAUCAUCUACUUUUUUUCUACUUAGGUCAGCUCUGCUUAUUGUCAUCUAGUGCAAAGCAAAGUUUGGAAUUAGUUUCACAUUAAAAGUAAUUCACAUUAACUAAUCCACUAGUUAAUUAGUUAAUAGUUAAUUUAGUUUCACUAAAUGUGAAACUGCUCAGGCAGAAGUGCCUGCUAGCUGACUAUUGCCCUCUACUGUCAGCUCCUUUGCACUUCAACUGCUCACUGAAUCGCCCCCCCACCCCCUUUUUUCGAGGCAGAAAUACUGUAUGUUUCCUUUAUAUGCUAUUUCUUAUUCUGUUGUAUAGAAGAAAGUACAUUCCAUCGUUCCAUCAUUCUCAGAACAGACUUGUCUCACUGUGAAAGAAGAAGCUGAAGUAGGCUGUUUCACUGGUUUUCACUAACAGGCUAUGAAAUGGUAGAAAUAAGUUGAAAAUGUCACUAUUAAAAG